rnacentral:lncRNA from 1 species
GUAAAGUACGGGUCGCUAGGGAGAUUGAAUCCAACCAUGUUAUCUACGCGAGAAUAGGGGUAAAAGAAACAAUUAAUAAACGUACAACUUAAGGUAAUUAUAGGAUGAUCCUUACCAGUUACUUCAAUACUUGCGUAGUGCAUACCAGUCAUACAUAAUCAAAACAGGAUAGACUUUCGAAUAAGUGGCCAUAACUCCAAAUCCACAACCAAACAAGGAACAAGAAAUAAAGCAAGGAUCACAGAUUCUAAGUCUAUGACACCUUCGUCACAUAUAACCUUAGUGUAUCCACUCAGCAACUAUUGGCCUACUAAUAAAGACCCUUUUAGUUCUCAAAUAAGUAUUUAUAGUAAUACAAAAUACGCCUAUAUUAUUUUAAGUUUAAGUUAUGUUCUAAAGUUUUCAUUGUAGAAGUGUUGGUAAGUUUUUAGACUAGCUACAACACCACAACUAUUCCUAGGCACAUGCUAAUAACUUCUCGGAAAGAUAUAGUUAAUCAGGCUAUAUCACUCCCAGAUCUGAUUAUAUGUCCCCAAGCCUACUUGUGUUGUUCAACAACUGCAAUACUUUUGUUCUGUCCUAGUAUGAAACUGAUCCUAGUAUGAAUGCUUGUAUAUAUACUUUAGUUAAAUAUUUUAUUAUUUAAAAGUACAAACUCUUGGUCAGAGUAUUUUAAUCCCAAUGUGUUUAUAGUUGCAUAUCUUUUAUGGGUUGAUAUACCCAAUUCACUAUAAACAAAGCUCUGAUACCAAUCUGUCACACCCCAAAACCAGAACGGCGGAAACGUUCUGCGGCAGAGGACGUCAUGUAUAGUAUCAUAUCGAUGCAUUAUAGUAAACAAGCGACAACAUCAUCCAUUGCACUAAUAAUAUAAUUUAAUACAAGUGUGUUUUGAAUGUAUUUGUAAGACACCAAAAAGAUGGAUAUCAAAAAUAAAAGACGAGACUUGAAAACGCUCCGCCUUCUCAAAACUUGAUCCAAGGUACCCGUCUAUUGGUGACCUGAGAAUACAAGUUAUUUGAAAAGAGAGUAGAUCAGCAUUAAAGCUGGUGAGUUCAUAAGUAUUUUAUNUGCGUAGUGCAUACCAGUCAUACAUAAUCAAAACAGGAUAGACUUUCGAAUAAGUGGCCAUAACUCCAAAUCCACAACCAAACAAGGAACAAGAAAUAAAGCAAGGAUCACAGAUUCUAAGUCUAUGACACCUUCGUCACAUAUAACCUUAGUGUAUCCACUCAGCAACUAUUGGCCUACUAAUAAAGACCCUUUUAGUUCUCAAAUAAGUAUUU